CUCAUCGGUACUCAUUUUGGCGUCGCGUUACUCGCUUCCGGAGGGAAAAGGGGGGGAACGACUGAGCGGAACAAUGCCUUCAUCGUCGCCUUGUAGCAUCAGAGCCCUUUGGAUCCUCAGCUCUCAGGACAACGUCGCCUUCUCCAGGAGAUUUCCGGUGGUGGAGAAAAGGUGGCGUUUGGCCUGUGCGAGAGAGAACGAGAGAUCAGAGUCUGUUGGGUACAGCGUGCUGCCUCUGCUACCGACGGAUCCUGAACUGGUUUCCGCUUUUUCUGAGAGGAAGAGGAGGGAGGGUUCCGCACAAGGAUUUGGCAUCCGCCUCGCUCAGUCAACUCAAGGAUCAGAUUCCUGGGUUGAUGAUCCAAUCACACGUCACAUUAUAUCACUCUCCAUUAAAAGAGAGGGUGGCGAAGAAGAAUUUAUGUUAUGGCCGUUGGUUUUACAUACAAAGGGCAGUUAUUAUAUUAUCAUUUUGCCUUUUGUUGAGCCUCAACAGUUUAAAGCAUAUGAGAAAUUGUGCACAAGAUCUGAUUGUGGUGGUUCAGUGGGGGAGGAAUACAGCCUCUCGUCCCUUUUAUACAGUCUACCAUGCAUCACAGGAGCAAUUAUGGUGGCACACACUGUGGGGGACAUAAUUACUGGUGACGUUGUUGACCCUGAUGUGGUCAUUAGUUCAUCUCCAUCCGUAGGAGGGUUGUUGGACUCACUGACUGGUAGUAUAGGCAUAUCAGCCAGGGCAAAACCUGUUGCAGCUUCUGUUGCAGCCUCAAGUACUUCAGGUGCUUCUGCAGUUGGUACUAUAGCAAUGGAUGCUUCCAAAAGCACAUCCAGACCAAUAGACAAAGAUGCAUUGCUUACUUUUCUGAGCAGCUCAAUGCCCUUUGGAACGCCUCUUGACCUAGACUUUGCACAUGUAUCUGUAAUCAAGGCCCAUGGUUUUUCUUCUUCAGAUUUGCCACCUGCAGAACUCAAGCAACCAGCCUGGAAGCCAUAUUUACACAAAGGAAAGCAGCGGAUGUUGUUCAUGAUUCAUGAGACGAUAAAUGCUGCCAUGUACGACCGUGAUGAAAUACCAGAUUCUAUUUCAAUUACAGGUCAAGUAAACUGCAGAGCGGACUUAGAAGGAUUGCCUGAUGUUUCCUUACCUCUGAGUGGACUGAAGAAUGCUAGCAUGGAAAUAGUUUCAUUUCACCAUUGUGUACAGGUAUCAGAACAUGGUGAUGAUAAACAAGCUCUAAUGUUUUCUCCGCCACUCGGGAAUUUUGUUUUGAUGCGUUAUCAGGCCUUAUGUGGUCCUGAUCCACCAGUAAAAGGCUUUUACCAGUUAUCUAUGGUCUCUGAGGAUGAAGGUGCAUUUUUGUUCAAGUUGCAGUUGAUGGAGGGUUACAGGGCUCCUUUUUCUAUGGACUUUUGUACUGUUUCCAUGCCAUUUCCACGUAGAAGAGUGCUAUCUUUUGAUGGGAAUCCUUCAACUGGAACAGUUUCAAUGACAGAGCAUUCCUUGGAAUGGAAAAUUGUUACAAGUGGCAGGGGUAUCACCGGUAAAAGCAUUGAGGCAACUUUUCCAGGUACAAUAAAAUUUUUUUCAAGGACAAUCCAGAGGGGUCCUUCACUACCAAGGUCAGUUUCAAGAAAUAUGGUUGAAGAAGAUACUCAUAGUGAUGCUGAACAGGACACUGCUAAUAAUACUCUCAACAUUGAGGAUAAUUUGAUGGAAAAAAUGAAUAAGGACUUAGAGUCAGUAGAUUUGGAAGAGCCAUUUUGUUGGCAAGCAUACAAUUAUGCAAAGGUUUCUUUUAAGAUUAUUGGAGGCACGCUAUCUGGAAUGUCAAUAGAUCCAAAAUCGGUAAGCAUCUAUCCGGCUUUGAAAGCACCAGUUGAACUCUCUAUGCAGAAAAUCAAUGAGAUCCGAUAUGAAGACGAUCCAACCUGAUGGUAAAACUGACUUGAUGAGACUUAAGCCCAAGUUAAUGGAAGUACGCUUAUAGAGCCCUAUAAACCAUCAUUCAACUUCUAAUGUGAGCGUCACAAGAAAUAUUCUGAUACCAAUCUUUGAUUUUAAGAAAAGGGAUAAACUUAUCAAUACUCUUCUGCUGAUUAUAAUCAAGUUGGAUGACAAUCUCUUUUCUCUUUAUCACCAAACUUCCUCCAGUAUUGUCAAAAAUGAAUAUAAUGAGAUCCAUUGACAAGGCUUCAAAUAAUCCUGUGUUAACAUUUAAACGAUGUUCUCGUGGCAUGCAUCCUCCGGAGAGUACAUAUUGUGGAAUACUUUGGGAAAAUGCCCUUCUGCUGUUUCUCCUAAAGUUUAUUGAUGAUUGAUGCUCAUUUAUGUUCCUUGGACAAGCCUUAUGUAUCAUUUCGAAGGGACAGGAGACAGGCAGACCCAAUGAGGAGAAUAAUGUGGUUGUUUGGUUAAACGAAAGUGCAAUUAUAUAAAAGGGUUUGAACAUUCAAAUGUUUGGUUAAGCACUUAGAAAUACAAUAAUCUGACUGCAUUUCUGUUUAAUUUUGCUCGGAAAUCCAUCCUUUGGAAUUUUGCCUCUUAUGACU